CUCCCACCUCUCCUGGGGCCCGAAGUCACCUCUGAACACAAGGGUGCUGAGUCACGGGCGAAGCAGUGAGGACACCCCUUCUGACUGCAGUCCUCCGUGACUCAGAGCAGUGGGACAGGGGCUGAGUCAGAUGUGCUCUGGGCUUACAAGACCUUGGCAGGGGCUUGUGACUGUCACUCAGCAGGCUCUGUGGGUGGCAGCUGACAGGGUCCCCUCUUACCUCAGUCCUCUGUGGAUGUCCCCAUCAUCCCUGUUUACUCUCUGACACACAGCCCUGGCAGGAGUGGGAGCCAAAAGCCUUUGGAUCCGAAGCAGGGAAAGUGUGAGCUAGAGAGUGCUGGCUUUGAGACGAGGGGGCUGCUCCACCUAGGCUGCAUUUCAUCUGUCCUAAAAACACAUUUGUUUUCACACUUUAAUAUCCCUGAAAUUGGAACCUGUCUAACAAUUGGUGGCAUAUCCUAGUUUAAUCAGCAGCAUUUUCCCCCUUCAUGGUAAAAUAAUGAUUCCUUUAAAAAUCACUGGUAUCCUAGAUUUGAUGAGACUCGUACUUUGCAUCAACCUGGGAGGCAAGGCCAACCUCUCCACCCAGGGAGGGGUUUGAAUGGGAAGACAGUUGUCCCUUCCAGCCCCAGGACACCAGCCACAGGGCUAGGAGCAGCCUUCCCUAAGGGGCCCAGGAAACCAAUGCCCCUCUCCUCCCAGGAGCUGCUCUUAGACCCUCAGGUGGGAGUCCUGAGACAGGGCUGGGGUGGUUGGCUGGGAGGCACCACAGACAGGGGCCUGGCCUGCAGCCCUUCCCCUCAGUAUCCUGCCUCUACCUCUAGGCCAGAGUCACCAAUGUGUCCUACUACACUCAGGAAAGGGGUGGACAGGCCCUGCCCAUGAAUGCCAGGUUCUGGUUUCCAAGACUUUAUCUCUCAGGGCAUGGCCAGGAAGCAGGAGACCCACCGGCAAUCAGCAGAGCACCUGCCCACUGUGGCCCCACUCUGAGCCAGGUGAUGCUGACGCAGCUGGGCCACAGGGCAAGGGGCUGGUCUGGCCAGACCUGCUGCUGCCCAGGGGACACACCAGGGGACCACAACACACACAGCUUGGCUAGAGGGACCACCGUCCAGCCCCUCAUCUCACAGAGCAGACGGACAGCAGCUGUGGCACGCCAAGCCCCUACAAUGCCACCGGCACCAGCUGGUCUCUGGAGCUAGAACGCCCAGGGGCUUCCUGGGACCAGAGUUGACCUUGGGCUUGCGGAAUGACAGUUUCAGGCCCUCCUUGAAGAAGAGCGAAAUGGAUAUCCAUGCCUUCCUGUAGUCUACCCCCCCAAUGAAAACAUUCUCUCUUGAUUUUUGUCUGAAACAGUUCUUUGUUGUCUAAGACUAGGAGGGGACAGAGGUGAGAGGGCGGUGGCAGUGGGAGGGGCCAGGGCCCUUGCAGGGAACAGAGGAAUGAAACAUGCUGCCAAGGGUAGAGACUGUCAUCACCGGCCUUUACAAGGCGCACGGAAGUGCGGUGCAGGGUUACACAGGGUGCUGUUCAUAAGGGCCCAACCCCGGCAGUGCCUCCUGAACUCAGCCCAGGGGCUGGGGUCGCCCAUGCCCUCCUCCAAGGGGGAGCAGCUGCUGCCACCCUUGGCGCACGUUGUCCCAUGACCUGGAGUGGCCUCCCAUCCCGUGCAGUGGUGACCACUCGUCCCUCAAGGCCCAGCCCAGAUGCCACCUCCUCUCGGAAGCCUGCUCUGAGCCUUCCAGCCCAGGUCUCCUGCCUUUCCUGCACCGCCCAAAGCCUGCUCGGAAACGACCUCCUGUGGUGGAAGAAACCCUCCACGCCUUCUGACUCUGGCUUCCUUCUCCAAA
ensembl:lncRNA